GACAGAGAGACAGAGGGGGCAAGAAGUGGAUGGACAGGCAGACAGGCAGCUAGAGGGACUGAUUGACUGCCAGGUACACAGAGGAAAACAGACAGGCAAACAGAAUGACAGAUGGACAGCCAGCCUGACCCACAAGAAGCCUGAUGACCCACAGGUAGACCGACAGCAUCACAGGCAGACAGACAGGCCCAGGGACAGUCCAAGCAGCAGGUCCAGAGAGAGGCAGACGGCCAGGCUGUCCAUUGAGAGGACCAUCACAUGGGCUGACACCAGGCAACAGGGACUGGAGGCUGGAGCUGGGGACAGAGGCUGGAAUCGCUGAGCCCUCCCUAGACAGGUUAGCGGGAGGAGACCUGGCAGAUGGCUUCAUAUUUCGUGUUAAGCCCCUUGCGUGAUGAGACUGGAGUGCGGGGUGCUCCCCUGGGCCCCAGGCUUCCCGGCUUCUUCCCCCUCCUCCUCCUCCCCCUCACAGCCACGUGCAUGAUCUGGCACGCAAGGCAAGGAGGCUCAGAGCAGCCGUGACGUCUGCUCCAUGGUUGGGCAGUGGGGGCACUGCCUGGACCCCUAUGUGGGCCCCGUUGUCUGUGGGGGGCUCAGACCCAGUUUAGGGUCCUAGCCCUAGGGACUUGGACUUGGGGGGUUGGGAAGUCCUAAAGGGAGCCUGUUGGGCUGCUGCCCCAUCCCUCUGCCUCAUUCGUCUGUUCCAUCUGACCCUGGCUGCCACACUGUGUGGUAGAUUCUGUUAUUGCCCCCAUUUAACAGAGCAGUAAACUGAGGCUCAGGGAGAGGAGGCAGUUGGGCCAAGGACUUUCAGCAUCGGGGGGUGGAAUCUUUCUGUACUGGGGGCCGGGCUGCUCACAGGAAGCUCAAGUGUGCUCUGCUCUUCCGUAGCUGAUGUAGCUGCUAAGUCCAAUGUACUUUGGCAGGGCAGUGACUGUGCCGGACCCUAGAAUUCCCUUUAGGAAACCUACUAGCUCUCAGAUGGAAGCCACGUUGACAGCAUCAGCUUCUUCAGUGAUCCAAGUGCCUCUGGUAUCCAUUGGGAACUGCCAUCUGUCUCUUAUUUGGUCACAAAGUCAGCUCACUUCUUUUGGAGGCAAAAAUGAUUCCUUGUUGAGGAACUCUGACAGUAAGAAAGGGUUUCUUAAGUGGAGCUGAAAUCUGUCUUCCCGAAGCAUCCACCAUCUGGUUCUGCAAAGAUCUAGCCUGGGUUCCUUUCCCGGGAGAGAUUCCAAGGGACCUGAGGACAGACAGCGUUUAGUGAUGCUCCCGCAUCCUCACCAGGGUCUUGCCACCAUCUCCCCAUGCCAUGGCGUCCAGACCCCCACCACCACGGUUCCAUACCCUGGACACACCCAAGGCCCUGUUCUUUCCCUUCAGCUCAGGCCAGCAAGUAUCACAGCCAAUUCCUGGGUUGCAUCAGCCUCACCUUGCCCCUGCGAAGCUGUGUAAGGGGUGUUCAGGCUACAAGAGAGGCAAGGCUCUAGAUGUGCUAGGCCAGCAUAGAACACGAUGGGAAAAUUGUGAGUUUCUGCUCCCAAUAAUCCAGCCCCAGGUCCUGGGGACUUCUUGGGAACAAUGUUUGCAGCCUCUCGAAAUCAAGAAGUAGCCCAUCCCAGCCCAGGACCCAGAGGUAAGAGCCAGCGGAUGCCGCUUCAGCACCAAGGACAGCUCAGCCAUGCUAUGGAUCUGCCUGUGUCUUGCUGAGUUGGAGGCUGAGGGAAGCCGACGAAGGUGGUGGCUGCAUCCUCAGAGACUUGGUGAUGAGCUGGCAGCCCAGGUUGUGUGGUCACAGGAUGGGAGUGCUGACUAACUGAUAAAUGAGCGACUAAUUGAAUGUCUUGGUUUCAGCCAUUGCUGAAUUGCUUUCUCAGAAAAUUAGGGAACCUUCAGAGAAAGCAAUUGGACUUGAAGUUGAAGGCAAAGUCUUAACUUGUCCGAACCUCAGUUUCCCCAGCUGUGAAAUGGGGAGGAAGAUAUACAGUAUAUAAUAUAUCUAACGUCCUGGUGCAUAACCCUUCUGAGAGUUGGCCUUUCUUGAGGAUACAGCCAGGAGUGUCUGCCUGGCCGGGAGGGACACUGGGAGGAUCUUGA
rnacentral:lncRNA from 10 species